rnacentral:rRNA from 1 species
GAUGAACGCUGGCGGCGUGCCUAACACAUGCAAGUCGAACGAAGCGUCCCAGAGGAAGUUUUCGGAUGGAAUCCGGGAUGACUGAGUGGCGGACGGGUGAGUAACGCGUGGGUAACCUGCCCUGUACUGGGGGACAACAGUUAGAAAUGACUGCUAAUACCGCAUAAGCGCACAGGACCGCAUGGUCCGGUGUGAAAAACUCCGGGGGUACAGGAUGGACCCGCGUCUGAUUAGGUAGUUGGCGGGGUAACGGCCUGCCAAGCCGACGAUCAGUAGCCGACCUGAGAGGGUGACCGGCCACAUUGGGACUGAGACACGGCCCAA